UGGGGAAUCUUCCGCAAUGGGCGAAAGCCUGACGGAGCAACGCCGCGUGAAUGAAGAAGGCCUUCGGGUUGUAAAAUUCUGUCUUCAGGGAAGAAAAAAAUGACGGUACCUGAGGAGGAAGCCCCGGCUAACUACGUGCCAGCAGCCGCGGUAAUACGUAGGGGGCAAGCGUUGUCCGGAAUUACUGGGCGUAAAGGGCGCGUAGGCGGCUACUUAAGUCUUAAGGUGAAAACUGUGGGCUCAACCCACAGCCUGCCUGAGAAACUGGGUAGCUUGAGGACAGGAGAGGGGAGUGGAAUUCCCAGUGUAGCGGUGAAAUGCGUAGAUAUUGGGAGGAACACCAGUGGCGAAGGCGGCUCUCUGGCCUGUAACUGACGCUGAGGCGCGAAAGCGUGGGGAGCAAACGGG
rnacentral:rRNA from 2 species